rnacentral:lncRNA from 1 species
ACAAAAGGAAAAAACAUAUGGAGUUAAUCAAUAUGUGAAAGUACAUGAAAUCAAAUAGUAAUAUUUGAAAAUCAAAAUGACCUUAAAAUCUUCAUAAUGAGUGUUAACCAAGUCCAUGUCUUGAGGAGGCACUUUAGUUGAAAUUGCAGCAAACAACAUUGAAAAGGGCAUCCAUGGAGAGGUUGGAGUUCUUGGAGCUCGACCUGACGAUAAACCUCGAAGCUGAUUUGCAACAACUGGAGAUGGGUGGCUCUUAUCCUAUGGCACAAAGGAGGCAAGGCCAUCACUUAGUUCAAUAACAAUAGAAGAGCAAAAGUACUGCUUCAGAUUUAAAAAAAGAAUAGCACAAUAAUUAUGUAAUCCUAGGUCUUCUGUUGUGGAACCUAAACAUGGUUAACUGGAGAUCCUAAUAUGAAGACUGUUCAGCAUCAUCUUCAGAACUUUGCCAUGCAAUAAAAAAUUCUAGCAUGGAUUACAGAAUUUGAAGAAAUACAAACAGAAAACCCAUUUCAUCAUAAAUAUGCAAAAAAAAAAAAAUGAUAAGAUGGUCAGCCAUUACUAUAUAUCCAUCAAAAAACGGACUAGUUGGUAAUCUACUACAGCACAAGAAUCCUAAUAGCUAAGAUCUGGACUAUAAUUAAGUGUUCCAUGAAAUAUGGUCUAAAAAUAAUUAUAAUUUGUAAAACACACCUGAUAUAAGCUGCAAGGUGAAUUAGAAUUUGUUAAAGCAGACACAUAAGACAUACCACCAUCGCUAGCCAAACAUUCUGCAGUCACAAAUAAAGUACAGGCUUUGAAAUAAAGUUUGAACUCAUAUAAAGGAAUUUUUUUUUAAAAAAAUCAACCAGAUGCUCCGGCAAAAGUUACCUUUGGCAUUGGUAGGCAAAUUUAUAGUCACAAUAAAUUCUGCAUAGAUAUGAGUAUACAUAUUCAAAUCCCAUAUUAUAUAAUGCUUUGGAUUCUGAAGAUCAUCGACCCCACUGUCAAAGUUCUCAUGGCUGGCCUGAUGCUGGUUAGAUCCCAUGGGAAUUAGCUCCAUGUUUCCCAUAAUAACGCGGCACAGCAUCAUAUGGAUAAAACCAUUGUCGUCAACAUUAGAAUAGCGAGCACUGAAGACAAUAUAUGUAGAUUAGUGAUAUUUCUUCAUGGACGAUUAGCAAACAAAGAAUAGUGCAUGACCAAGAGGAACCAUCAAAUGCAAAUAAAGGGCUGUUUGCAGCCUUCUAGAACAAGAAUUAAGGAUCAUUCCAUAAUUGCCAGAAGACAAUCAUGAUAAAAUUGAUAUUGAACCUCACCAGACAUUUGAACAAUUUGCUGGUGCAAGAUGAAUGCCAUUGCCAAACAGAGGCUUCUGUUCAGGUAUCUUCAAAACCCCUUUCAACAUCAUCUCUUCGACAGCACCUUUGGAGGAAGCAAGCCAUGCAUAACGGACAUUUGCAUUGCCACGGAGUUUUUGGGUGACCACAACCUGCUCUUGAAAAAAGCCAAGUCGAUUCAAACCUAAGUCAUUUUCCACUGGAGUUUUGCAGAUUCCAAAAAUGUCCUUUGCAUCAAUAACUUUGCCCAAACUGUGAAGUAACAAAUGCUGCACAGCACUGAUUCGCUGGUCAUCAGCCGGCCUAACCUUUUCCUGCCAACUUCCUGAAGCAGAGACAUUUGGAGGGAGAAAUGAACACGGAUCAUUUUCUCCAACAGUUUCAUUGUCUUCAGCACAGGCAGAAUUUUCUUCACUCUUGAUCCUCUUGACAUUAAACAUAGCCUCGUCAUCGAGUCGUAAACUUGAGCUUUCAGCAGCACUAACAGAAAUCUUCAAAUGGGCUUCAACUUCACGUGUACCAUUUGGAUCACAAAUCAUGUGAACUUGUUUGCCUUUGCCAAAAUGAUAAUGUUCAGGACACACUUCUGGGAAGAAACAUUUCCCAUCUACAUCAAUCCAAGCAAUUGGUUUCUGUAAUCCUGUUUUCAAAUCUAUGUAAAUCAUGUGCAUAAAGUCUAACAAAAAUUGCUGAUUCUGAAUAUCUGCUUCAGUAAUUCCUUUCUUUAGACGAAAAUCUUCCUGGACCAAACUGAUGAUAUUCUCAGGAAAAUCUCUCCAUUCACCAUCCUCAAAAGAUAACACUCUGACCGGCAACCCACUUUUUGAAAAAUUGCGAUAUUUAUUAACAAUAUGGCUCUGAAAACUGCAGCUGAAGUUAGAUUUACAACUCAUCAUGUUGCAGCCCCUUAGAGAGGAUCUGUCUGUGAUAUGCGAAUGUGCUACUAGGCCAUGGCCACUAGUGAAAUAUGAAUCAGGUUCUCUCUUUCUCUUCAGACUGUGCAUAAUUCUUUCAUUUUUAUCCAAUACCUUUACGCUCAUAUCUUCCAUUUUUACCCAAGGAAGUGUCUGUUAACCACAGACUAAUUCUCUUCAAAGGGCUUGUCUCCACAAAAACAGCCAACCUCACUUAAGGACAAUCAAUAACUUCCCGUCGAGUUAUAGAUGGAAAAAUUCAUGUAACGGUAGACCGACAACAAGCAAGGAAA